AAAUUUCGUGUUCUUGUAAGUGGCUUAAUCUCUUGAAUUUGUAUAAUUUUUUUUUGUAAGUGUAACGACCUUAGAGCGUUAUAAAAAGACAUGUUUCUUGACUGUUCUAGAUUUUAUACCAGGUAGUACUUUAUGCUUUAUGAUAUGUACAUUGGAUUUGCAGGUCAAUGGUGACUAAGUCAAAGGUUGUUACAUCAAAUGGUAAAAAAGAGUGCCAUUCACGUUGUCAUGUUAUUACAGUCUAUCACAUCUAAUGUUGACUAAGCCAAAGGUUGUUACAUCAAAUGGUAAAAACCUAAGUUCAUGAAUAUAAUGGUUAUGUUUUCUAGAAGUACCUGAUUCAACAGUUUGAUGUUUUCAUGAAGCUUCUACUUGAGCUGUUGCGAACGCGGGGAAACGAUGUCUCACUAGUUCCAUGUUUGAGGAAAUACCCGCAAUAGCGGCCACCAAGUUUGGAAAGAAGAUGCUAAUGAAGUGGAUGAUGAUACGGAUAUGAUGUAGAAUUAUGACAUUUUAUAUGUUAAAGUAGUUUUAUGACAUGUUGUGAAUAAAAAUGAACCCGGAUGGUGACGUUUGUGACGUUUAUGCUUAUGUAGAUUGUGUUUAUUUA